UUUUGUGUAGUUGUCUCCGGGUCGCGCACUCGCGCGUCUGUGUGCACGCGCUUCAGAUGUCAGUUGUCAGCGGGAGGAAGAUCGCUUUUGAGUCUUGUCGCUCUUAAUAACUCUUUAACAUUAAUCAGGUACCGAACUUUAUCUCUCUUAAUGACUCUUUUAACAUCAAGGAAGUCCUGUAGUCUAUUUUCUAAGUCAUGCAUAAAAGUGAAACCAAAAUGAAUUGAGACGCAUCUUUGUAUUAGAUUAAGCAUUAGGAGGACGGUAACGUUACACCUCUCAGACGUAUAAAUAAAGAUAAUUUCAGAUGUCCAACGAGCAUUUAGAGCAUUGGAUUUGCUAGACGAUUUGCUUAAUGUUCUUAUUUCUAUGAAAACCUUUGAAUCAUUUAGACAGGGUCACAUUUGUCUGUGUCUCUGUUUAUUCAACUAUGGGCUGGACCAAGGGUCAAACAGAAAUUGUGCGUUGCGUUAAUCGCCGUUAAUAAAAUUAGUGGCGUUAAAAUGAAUUUGCGUUAACGCGUUAUUAACGCGUCAAUUUUGACAGCCCUAAACUAUAUACAUAAAAACUAACAAAAGUAAUACUUGUAAAUGCCGUCUGUACUACCAGCUUUCAAAAAAUGACUAUUCGUUUACAGAUAUGAGAAAACAACACUGUCAGGAGGAAAGGGCCCAUCUACAUCGACACCUAUUAAGGUGUUAGAAUUGCCAGACCUUCCAAAUUCCAUAACUACAGGGGAAUCAGACAGGAAUGUUUUAUUUUAUCCUCCCCUUACUCUAUUGAGAAUGCACUUUAGAAAUUAGAAUUACUACUAUGCAUUAUGGCAGUGUCACAAUGUAAUUUGACUGUUGAUGACAUUCUGUUCAGUUCUGUUAAUAUGUGUGGUUUGGCUAUGGCACAAUGUGUUAGUUUGUAAUACCAACAUUCUAUUUAAACAGGGAUGACUUCCAAAUAGCAGGAGUACAACCGCUGACAGAAGAUCCAGCAUUGGGGCUAUUGAAUGAAAGCAUCAGAUCACUGGAGUUGCGGGAUAACUCGGUUCUCAUAGAUGAAAAGCAAGUCAACAGCCUUGAGAACAGUGUGAUAGAAUUGCUGGACGAACUGGCCUCAGACCCAUCUGAUGCAGACUAUGUCCCACCUAUCUAUGUGCGUGCUAGUGGGACAUUACAGAAAAACAUUGACAGCCUCCCCCUCAUUGGCCUUGAAGAGGCUGUCCUGGACAUGUAUGACCGCGAGGAGACAGUUCAAGAGCCAGACCUUUCGGCAGAUUUUUAUCAUCCAACAACAGACAUUCCCACAUUCCCUACCUUUGCUCGAGUCGAUGCAGAAACUGACCUCAUUAACCAGCCUGCAAGCAUAGCUUACCACAAAAACCUUAUCCAACUGGUCUCUUUUCUGAAACUGCCAAUCAACAAAUGUUUUUACAUUGACCGGACCACGGGAGUGGAAUGUGAUGGGCUCCCACCUUUUCAGGUCAACUUGCAACCAUGAGGCACUGCAGAUGUUCUGGAAUGGCAUUGCCCACAUGGACAUAAACUGUGGAUGUGGAACAGCCAGCCAUUACUAAAGCAUAAUAUGCAAGGGGGAGACUUCAUGUUAUCCACAAACAUUCUUCUGUCAACAAUUAUUCCAAAAUCGCCCUCCUCUUCCAGUUUAUGAACAUGAAAAUGGUGUCAUCCACCACUUUCUACGCUAUACAAGAUGCCUACUGUGGAGAUCCAAUAAAGGAGUUUUGGGAGGAGAGGAAGGCCAUUAUUGAAAAAUUUGCCUCAAAAGACUGUUGUUGCCCUUGCUGACGGAAGGAUGGACUAUCCAGGUACGUUUUUUCUAUCAAAGGUCACACUGCCCAGUACUGCACAUAUACUACUAUGGAGCAGGACACAAUGGACAUCAUCAGUUUUGUCACUGUGGACAAGAGGCAGACUGACCGUAAGUGUGGCCAUGGAGAAGUAUACAUUCAUAAAGACCUUUGAUAGACUCAUGGGGGAGCUAAACAUCAAAAAAAAUCGUAACCGAUGCCCAUGUGCAGAUUGCUUCUCUGAUGCGUAAGAAUGAAUUCAUGAUUUUUUUUUGAUAUUUGAGUGAGAAUUUUUUUUCAUGUGUGUUUGGUUGUUGCUCAUUAGAUCCAGAGAAACGGCGAUACAAGUUCCAGGGUGUAGUCCAUUCCCUGGACAUCUGGCAUGCAGCUAAGAAUCUGACCAAAAGACUACAUGCGGCUGGGACGACAUCUGGUCAGUCACAAAUACUUGUUUGGCUGAAGGAUGUUGUCAACCACUUUUGGUUUUCUUGUCAGAAAGCAUGCAACCGGGAGGAGUUCAUGUGUAUCUGGCGAGGUGUAUUGCACCAUGUUUGUGGAGAGCACGAGUGGUCCCUCAGCAGAUGCCUCCAUGCACCUCUGGAUGAGGAAACCGCAAACAAAGAAGUCUUAACACCUGGCUCUGCUGCACAUGAGGCUUUGUCACAAAUUAUGCUAAACAGGAGGUGGCUGAAAGAUUUGGAGAAGUUUCUUACCUUUCGGUCAACUUCUGAGUUGGAAUCCUUCCAGAAUCAUAUCCUUAUGUAUGCAGGCAAACGGUUUUCGUUUUCUCCUCCUGUUUAUGAGGCUAGGACUCUUCUAGCAGCCUUAGACUGCAACCAUCAUAACCACCGAGCAGUG